UCCUACCUCUUUCUCAUAAUGAAAUCAGUGGAUUAUGAUGAUUUGUGUACUCCAUUAAUAUAAUGUAAGAAGUAUCACAUGGUUUUGUUGUCCAACUCGUUAUCAAGACUUUAGGCCCAUUGUUUUUAUAACAUGAUUGAAAACACAGCAUCAAAUUGAUAACAACAGGCAAUCGUCCUGUAAUUAUUCAGGUCCGAACCACUUGGUCUGCAAUUUAGAAAUAAAUUUACUUG
rnacentral:lncRNA from 1 species